ACUGCGGCCGGUGAGGUCGAGCUUGCAUGCAUGGAUAAUGUUCCACAUCUACUAAUAAUUGGCUUAUCCAACAGCUAACAGUAAUUAUCUAUCCGUGUCUUGCGCGCACAAAUUAACCCAAUCACUUGUGGCCGGGCGCGAGUGAGUCUAUCCCCUUCCCGGACGCAGAGCACAUGGCACAAAACUUAUCUAUGUAACCAUGAAAAUUACACGUACAUACCCGCAAAAAAAAAAAAUUACACGUACAUAUAUACAGUAGAACAUUGUGUCGAUUCUCAGCCUGAUCGAUACCUCGUCAUGGUCGACUACGC
rnacentral:lncRNA from 1 species